UCUAGCGKCGGACGGGUGAGUAACGCGUGSGMNNNNGCCCUUUGCUACGGAAUAGUCCCGGGAAACUGGGUUUAAUACCGUAUACGCCCUUCGGGGGARAGAUUUAUCGGCAAAGGAUCGGCCCGCGUUGGAUUAGGUAGUUGGKGGGGUAAUGGCCUACCAAGCCGACGAUCCAUAGCUGGKUUGAGAGGAUGAUCAGCCACACUGGGACUGAGACAYRGNMNAGACUCCUACGGGAGGCAGCAGUGGGGAAUCUUAGACAAUGGGGGCAACCCUGAUCUAGCCAUGCCGCGUGAGUGAUGAAGGCCUUAGGGUUGUAAAGCUCUUUCAGCUGGGAAGAUAAUGACGGUACCAGCAGAAGAAGCCCCGGCUAACUCCGUGCCAGCAGCCGCGGUAAUACGGAGGGGGGCUAGCGUUGUUCGGAAUUACUGGGCGUAAAGCGCACGUAGGCGGAUCGGAAAGUUGGGGGUGAAAUCCCGGGGCUCAACCUCGGAACUGCCUCCAAAACUAUCGGUCUUGAGUUCGAGAGAGGUGAGUGGAAUUCCGAGUGUAGAGGGUGAAAUUCGUAGAUAUUCGGAGGAACACCAGUGGCGARGGCGKCUCACUGGYUCGAUWCUGACGYUGAGGNGCKAAAGCGUGGGNGCAAACAGGAUUAGAUACCCUGGNAGUCCACGCCGUAAACGAUGAAUGC
rnacentral:rRNA from 1 species